rnacentral:rRNA from 1 species
AACGUAGGGUGCAAGCGUUGGCCGGAUUUAUUGGGUAUAAAGGGUGCGUAGGUGGCUUUUUAAGUCAUGGGUGAAAGCACGCAGCUCAACUGUGGAAUUGCCUGUGAUACUGAGGAGCUUGAGUGCGGUGGAGGCAGCUGGAAUUGGUGGUGUAGCGGUGAAAUGCAUAGAUACCACCAGGAACACCGAUUGCGAAGGCAGUUUUCUAAGCCGUAACUGACACUGAGGCACGAAAGCGUGGGGAGCAAACAGG